rnacentral:misc_RNA from 1 species
GUUUACCUAUUUCUCCUUCAUCUUCUUCAAAACCUUAACUCCUCUCUCAACCUUUCCUUCUUUCUUCUUCAACUUCUGCAAUCUCUACUCCCAUUUUCCAUUUUCUCCCAUGAAAAUUUAUCCAUAAAGUUUCAUUCUUUCUAUCCAAAACACCCCAAACAAAGAAAAAUCAAGAAUGUCUCUACCAGUAUUCCAAACUGCACAAAUCAAGCCUAUCAAUACCCAAAUCAUUCCUUACUCAAAACCCUUGUUUCCCCCUUUGCUCUGUAGCCAAAUUAGAGUCUAUAAAGUUUGUAAAAUCAAGGCUACAUCGUCGCCGGCAGUCGAUGGAGACCCAGUUUCUGGUUUGGAACGUUGCUUUCAAGGGUCACCUGCGCUUGAUCAUCCGACGUCUUCGUCAUCCUCUACGGUCAUGUUUGCGCCAGUGAUGAAGGGAGGAAAAUAUGGUGCGCUUGGUUCGGUUACUUUGGAAAAAGGGAAGCUUGAUUUGUCAUCGAAGCAGCAGACCAGCUCUACUCCUGAGCUUUCAACUGGCGGAGGAGGUGGAAAUAUG